rnacentral:lncRNA from 1 species
CUCUAACCGACAACCCAUGUGAAUGUCCCCAUAUCCCAAUAUAUCCUCACUAUCUUCACCCAAUAUAGGAAUAGAACAAAUUCUGACAUAUUAUUGAUAAGUCCCAAUUAUUUUCACCUGUCACUAGGAGAUCCUCAACUUUGAAAUUAUACAGAGAGCUAAUAUCCACUGGCAUAGGCUAGAAUGCAAGAAUGUCUGAAAUCCAAAGAUCCUAAAUCACAUCAAUAGAAAUCUCAUUACCCACUAUCCAUCUG